AGGUUCAGCAGCAGCCAGGUUCUGCUUUGGAUACACUCCCUUUUGAUCUGCCUGAUGUGUUGCAUCUUCUUCAUUCAACCAGCUGUGAUAGUCGCGGUGGCAGUGGUUGUCUCAUUUUGGUACAGAAAAAGAGCAGACUUUCACAGUUUCUCCAGAGUCACAGAUGUUGAGACAGAGGUUUCAAAACUGCCGAGUCCCGAUGGUUCUUAUCAACAAGAAGAUCCGUUUAGUAAAACUGCCUUUCCUCUGAAGAGAUGCACAAACCACGAAAAGCUGCUUGGAGCUCGCCAGCGUGCCCGGUUCCUUCAUCACGUACGCCCGUCAACACUAGCAGAACUAAAGAAAACGCGUGGGAAGAAAAAAAGAGAGACUCUAA